AUGACUGUUUCAGAUUACACGGAGGAGUCUUUAAGGCUACAAGUGAGGUGCAACCUUGCUGAAACUGAAGAGCAACAAGUUGCAAGGUACAUCAAUGGUCUCAAUGAUGCUAUUCAAGAUCGAUUGAUGAUGCAAAAAAUCUGGUCCGUUGAUCAAGCACAAGCUCUAGCCUUAAAGGCCGAGAGGUUUGUGAGGAUGAGAAAGACAACUAAGGCUCCAUAUCCUCAUACCGAAGGCUCAUCUAGGAACCAACCUAAUAGAGUGGAAGAAAAGACCACUCCACCAAAGACAAAACAGCCCAUCCUGAAGCAAAUUAGAGGCAAGGGUAAGGCAAAUGAAGGCCCAAAGUGCUAUAAAUGUGGUAAAGAGGGACACAUAUCCAGCGGUUGCCCACUAAGGAAAUUUGUUAACACGACUAUCCAUGAUGGUGAAAGCGACGAGGAAGGAUACGAAUCUGAAGAUGUAGACGGACAAGAGGUUUGUCAAGAAGAAGGUGAAGAGGUGGUAUGUGUGAUCCAGCGUGUCCUAUGUUCCACACCACAACUCGAUGACACACAACGGAAGAAAAUACUUGAGAGCAAAUGCACGGUGAAUGGCAAGGUAUGCAAACUAGUGAUUGAUAGUUGCAGAUGCAAGAAUCUUAUCUCCCAGAAGUUGGUGGACCAUUUAAAGCUUGAAACCCAUGAUCAUCCAAAUCCCUACACUAUUGGAUGGAUCAAGAAAGGAGUGAAUAUGAGGAUCACCAAAUAA
rnacentral:rRNA from 1 species